GGUUCCCAGCACUUUCAGGGUGUUCUUUUUAUCUCAACUCCAUCAGAGUUCAACAGACAUGGAUGGCUUCAUUGUGGGAAGCCCACAGGGGCUCUGAGGUGGCGGUAGGGUGUGUUGUGCUGGUUCUCUUGACAUGCCACCAGCUUCUAGUGAGCAACCCAGGAUCACUCAGACGCUGGCAGUCUGAUAAGGACGCUUUGAUUGUCAAGUGUGUUUGCUUAUUGAAUCUGCUUACACAGAGCAUAUCCCUUCUCCUGUCUCAUCCUUUCAAGGUCACCUGGCAGCAAAACAAAAAGGGCUGCUCAGUAGAUUGCAAUUUCUGAUCAGUGACACAAUAAAUGAAGUUGUCUACACCAUUAUCCUCCUAAUAAAACCCUGAGUGGAGCCCUAGGGUCUCCAUGUGGGUUUAUUCACUGCCUGACUGUGGAGAUGGAAUUAGUAACUCUUUGUUGUGUAGCGCAUAGAUGUUGGCCUGUGUGGAAAGAGAGCGAAAGGGCUGGACAAAGGCCAUGAUCAAGCUCUCUGGCACUUGCUUGGUGACAUUCAGCAAUUCAAUGGCUGCUAUUGUCUUAAAAUCUGGGCAAGUUGUACUCACAAGGCCACUUAAAGCACUCAGCCUCUGCUACUAACCAUGCCACUGUUGCAACUGUUUCCUUGCUCCCUGUGAACUUUCAGGUGCUAAAAAAUCCAAGGUAGCAUCCAGUCUGGUCCUUGUUUCUCUUUGCAGAGAAACCAAAUAAUGCUGUCUGGGGAAAAACUCUUUUUGGUCUGCAUGCUCUCCCUUCUGAGCAGCAUUGCAGAGCAUUGCCAGUUCCUGUGAGGGCUUGGAUAAUCGUUUUAUGAACCAAUUUCCUGAGAGCUGAACACCCUUUAUGCUUUGUAUCUUCUCCUGACUUCACCUUUCUGGAGCUAUGCACAGAGGCUGCAGUAUUGAAUUCAGAGGUUUGUCUUGUAGGUCCAAGCAGUCCUGUCUAAGGUGAAGCAGCUGAAGAAGUUGAUGCUCAAGGAUAAUAACUACAAACAGAAAUAUCAGCUCUCAGCCCUUCAGAAGUGGCCAUCUUCCUUUAAGGAUCAGAGCCUGCCUAGACGCAGCUGUGGUUGCCUGCUGACAGUAGAGAUUCCUGCUCUAAGAUGAG